GGGAAGCAAAUGUUCCUUCUUGGUUGAGAAGGAACAGCGUGCAUGGCUGCCGGCUUUACACCCAUAAUUUUUUUUUUUUUUUGAGAUGACGAACUAUAGCGAGAACGCCGAGGAUCGCUGCUUUGAUACCAAAUGGUAAGACCCUAAAGUCUUAUCGUCGCUCUGAUACCAAAUGAUAAGACCCUAAAGUCUUAAGGUAAAAAAGAAGAAGAGAAAGGGAUGAUCACUUCGAGGGGAUCGGCCUCCUAGGGUUUAUCAAAAGACAUAAUAGUAUUUUUCAUAGAUAAUUGAAAAGAAGCAGUUACAUCACUAUUUAUAGAGUUCCAC
rnacentral:lncRNA from 1 species